rnacentral:rRNA from 1 species
UACGGAGGGGACUAGCGUUGUUCGGAAUUACUGGGCGUAAAGCGCACGUAGGCGGAUUUGUAAGUCAGGGGUGAAAUCCCGGGGCUCAACCUCGGAACUGCCUUUGAUACUGCAAAUCUCGAGUCCGGAAGAGGUGAGUGGAAUUCCUAGUGUAGAGGUGAAAUUCGUAGAUAUUAGGAAGAACACCAGUGGCGAAGGCGGUGCUCUGGGCCGGAACUGACGCUGAGGAGCGAAAGCGUGGGGAGUAAACAGG